rnacentral:rRNA from 1 species
ACUUGAUAAAGGGAAUACGGUUCCAAUUCCGUAACCUGUUGAGUAUACGUUUGUUAUUAAAAAUGGGCCUUGUGCUCAUCCUGGCAACAGGAACGACCAUAAAGAAGCCAUCGAGAGAUAUCGGAAGAGUUUUCUUUUCUGUUUUAUAAUCGUAUUACCAUGGAAGUCUUUCGAAGAGAGAUAUGGUAAAUGGAUUAGAAGAGCAUGACAUUUACUGUUGUGUCGAUAUUUUCUCCUUGGACCUUGAAAAUUUAUGGUGGGGUUACGCAAACUUCUCAACAGGCCGUACCGAUAUCCGCAGCUGGUCUCCAAGGUGAAGAGUCUCUAGUCGAUAGAAUAAUGUAGGUAAGGGAAGUCGGCAAAUUAGAUCCGUAACUUCGGGAUAAGGAUUGGCUCUGAAGAUUGAGAUAGUCGGGCUUGAUUGGGAAACAAUAACAUGGUUUAUGUACUCGUUCUGGUUAAUAUAGAGAUUUUCGGAUUUUGUUCACCGGAUAGUAGUUACAUAGCCAAUUGUGGAACUUUCUUGCUAAAAUUUUUCAAAUUAUAAUCUUUACGGAUUAUAUAUUUGUUUAAUUAUAACGAUUAUCAAUUAACAAUCAAUUCAGAACUGGCACGGACUUGGGGAAUCCGACUGUCUAAUUAAAACAAAGCAUUGUGAUGGCCCUAGCGGGUGUUGACACAAUGUGAUUUCUGCCCAGUGCUCUGAAUGUCAAAGUGAAGAAAUUCAAGUAAGCGCGGGUAAACGGCGGGAGUAACUAUGACUCUCUUAAGGUAGCCAAAUGCCUCGUCAUCUAAUUAGUGACGCGCAUGAAUGGAUUAACGAGAUUCCUUCUGUCCCUAUCUACUAUCUAGCGAAACCACAGCCAAGGGAACGGGCUUGGAAUAAUUAGCGGGGAAAGAAGACCCUAUUGAGCUUGACUCUAAUCUGGCAGUGUAAGGAGACAUAAGAGGUGUAGAAUAAGUGGGAGAUAUUUAGAAAUUUAUUUUUAUUUAUCGCCAAUGAAAUACCACUACUCUUAUUGUUUCCUUACUUACUUGAUUAAAUGGAACGUGUAUCAUUGCUUAGCCAUAUUAAGGAUCUAUUUUCAAUAGAUCUUAUGGUAUUGGGUCUUGAUGCAAGCUUCUUGAUCAAAGUAUCACGAGUUUGUUAUAUAAUUGUAAACAAAAUUUAAUGAAGAUAAUUGUAUUCAUACUUUUAUUGUUAAUUAAAAUUUGGUAUAACUCCAACACUCAGGUAUGAUCCAAUUCAAGGACAUAGUCAGGUGGGGAGUUCGACUGGGGCGGUACAUCUCUCAAAUAAUAACGGAGGUGUCCCAAGGCCAGCUCAGUGCGGACAGAAACCACACAUAGAGCAAAAGGGCAAAUGCUGACUUGAUCUCGAUGUUCAGUACACAUAGAGACAGCAAAAGCUCGGCCUAUCGAUCCUUUUGGUUUAAGGAGUUUUUAACAAGAGGUGUCAGAAAAGUUACCAUAGGGAUAACUGGCUUGUGGCGGCCAAGCGUUCAUAGCGACGUCGCUUUUUGAUCCUUCGAUGUCGGCUCUUCCUAUCAUUGUGAAGCAAAAUUCACCAAGCGUUGGAUUGUUCACCCAUUCAAGGGAACGUGAGCUGGGUUUAGACCGUCGUGAGACAGGUUAGUUUUAUCCUACUAAUGACCAAACAUUGUUGCAACAGCAUUCCUGCGUAGUACGAGAGGAACCGCAGGUACGGACCAAUGGCACAAUACUUGUUCGAGCGAACAGUGGUAUGACGCUACGUCCGUUGGAUUAUGCCUGAACGCCUCUAAGGUCGUAUCCGUGCUGGACUGCAAUGAUAAUAAUGGGGCAAUUGUAUUGUAUGGCUUCAAACCAUUCGAAGUUAUUUAUUUCAUAUAUAUAACGACAAUGUUUAAUGAUGCCAAUGUUAAAUAUAACAUAGCAAAUGCA